UGUGUGAGAGAGCAAUACUCAGGGUGUUAUCAGUAACAGACGCUGUGCCUACAGCAAAGCCAGAGUUCUGUUUAUCACUAACCACUGCUUAGGCAAGCAUACCGUUUAUAAAACUCUGUUAUAAAUACCUUGGGUUUAAAGAAUGGGUUUAAGGAGCGUUUUUAGAGGUGUCCAGACAAGACAAGACCAGCAUGAGCACAGGCGGGUUCAACAAUGCUAAUAACAGGGCUCCUGUGGAAGACCGAUUCAACACCUAUUUUCGUGUUUAUGAACGAGCUUUUCGACAGCAGCAACAACAACAACAGGCGAUACUGACACAGCGUGUGUAUGGUAAGUUAAAAAGAGCAGAACAACGUGGUUAAAAACUAUAUAUAGCCUUAUCCAGACAAUACAACUGAAC